rnacentral:rRNA from 1 species
CCCUUAGAUGUUCUGGGCCGCACGCGCGCUACACUGUUCGACGCAGCGAGUCUUAACCUUGACCGAAAGGUUUGGGUAAUCUUCAGCAAAGUCGAACGUGAUGAGGAUCGAUCAUUGCAAUUAUUGAUCGUGAACGAGGAAUUCCUAGUAAGUGCAAGUCAUCAGCUUGCGCUGAUUACGUCCCUGCCCUUUGUACACACCGCCCGUCGCUCCUACUGAUUGGGUGAUCCGGUGAGCUGUUCGGCCAUAGCAAUGUUUCUUGAGCAGGGCAAUGAAUGUUUCGCAAACCUUGCCACUUAGAGGAAGGAGAAGUCGUAACA